UGUUUGUAUAGUGUGUGUAUAUAAUGCAGUGUGUUUGUGUAGUGUGUGUAUAUAAUGCAGUGUGUUUAUAUCAUGCACACUACACAAACACACUGCAUUAUAUACACACACUAUACAAAC